UUCAAAAGUCCUUAAAACACAGAAGAGUAAAGCAUUUUGGUUAUGAAUUCCACUAUGAGAACAACAAUGUAGAUAAAGAUAAACCAUUACCUGGGGGUCUUCCUGACAUUUGUGAUAGCAUUUUAGAGAAAUGGUUGAAGGAAGGUUUCAUUAGACAUAAACCUGAUCAGUUGACUGUAAAUCAGUAUGAACCUGGGCAUGGAAUUCCUGCUCAUAUUGACACACAUUCUGCUUUUGAAGAUGAGAUCAUUUCUCUCAGUUUGGGGUCAGAGAAGUUUAAAUCCAGUCUUCCCUUGGUGCAAUAACUUACUGAAGCAGCAUUGCCAUC